CCCCGACCGUCUGGUCGAGGGUAGAUCCUUCCGCGUAAACACUUGCCGAAGCCUUAGCAGCCCGAAAGGGUGCAGCCCCAACGACUCUAAAUCCACGAGGGCUGCUUAAAUGCUAGUCUGCAGCAAGCAGGCGACACUAUCAAAUUGCGGGAACACCCUAAAGACCUCAACACCAAGCGAUCGCGGGAAACCGCGGCGUGGCCGAGCUAAUAGCCCUGGGUAUGGUAACAGCUUGAGGUAUGACGCUCCCUCACCGGAGCCGAAAUGGGCAAUCCGCAGCCAAGUCCUACAGCGCUCUCCCAGCGCCAUGGAUGCUGUUCACAGGCCAAAUGGUAGUGGGUGACUCCCCCGCGGAGUUGCUUAAGAUAUGGUCGGGCCCCUUUGGAAACUCUGGGGAUAAGUUUGCGCUGCCAGCAAUGGCGCAUGUAACCGUUCCGUAGGUGAACCUGCGGAAGGAUCAUUACAGUUGGGGCCCCGCCCCGAUCAAGAUACCACCCCUUGCAUUUCGAGUACCUCUGUUUCCUCGGCGGGCCCGCCCGCCAAUGGGGACCACAAAGAAACCUCUUGCAGUUGCAGUAAACGUCUAAACAAACAAAAAAUCAAAACUUUCAACAACGGAUCUCUUGGUUCUGGCAUCGAUGAAGAACGCAGCGAAAUGCGAUAAGUAGUGUGAAUUGCAGAAUUCAGUGAAUCAUCGAAUCUUUGAACGCACAUUGCGCCCUUUGGUAUUCCUUAGGGCAUGCCUGUUCGAGCGUCGUUUCGACUCCUCAAGCACUGCUUGGUGUUGGGCGCCUUGUCCCGCCCCUCUUCGGGGGGCGCGGACUCGCCUCAAAAGCAUUGGCGGCCCGCGUGAUCGGCUUCGAGCGCAGCACUCGCGCCUCGCAAGACCCUCCCACGCGGGCGUCCACGAAGAGACCUCCAAGUCUGACCUCGGAUCAGGUAGGGAUACCCGCUGAACUUAAGCAUAUCAAUAAGCGGAGGAAAAGAAACCAACAGGGAUUGCCCUAGUAACGGCGAGUGAAGCGGCAAGAGCUCAAAUUUGAAAUCUGGCCCUCUCAGGGUCCGAGUUGUAAUUUGUAGAGGGCGCUUUGGCGUUGGCCCCGGCCUAAGUUCCUUGGAACAGGACGUCACAGAGGGUGAGAACCCCGUACGUGGCCGCCGGCCUCCGCCGUGUAAAGCCCCUUCGACGAGUCGAGUUGUUUGGGAAUGCAGCUCUAAAUGGGAGGUAAAUUUCUUCUAAAGCUAAAUACUGGCCAGAGACCGAUAGCGCACAAGUAGAGUGAUCGAAAGAUGAAAAGCACUUUGGAAAGAGAGUCAAAAAGCACGUGAAAUUGUUGAAAGGGAAGCGCUUGCAGCCAGACUUGCCUGUAGUUGCUCAUCCGAGCUCCCGCUCGGUGCACUCUUCUGCGGGCAGGCCAGCAUCAGUCCGGGCGGUCGGAUAAAGGCCUCGGGAAUGUAGCUCCCCUCGGGGAGUGUUAUAGCCCGGGGCGCCAUGCGACCAGCCUGGACUGA
rnacentral:misc_RNA from 1 species